rnacentral:rRNA from 1 species
UACAGAGGGUGCUAGCGUUGUUCGGAAUCAUUGGGCGUAAAGGGCGUGUAGGCGGUUUUGUUAAGUCAUGUGUGAAAAUCCCCUCGGCUCAACCGGGGGAACGACGCAUGAAAACUGGCAAGCUAGAGUACCAAAAGAGGGGGGGGUGGAAUUCCCCGGUGUAGCGGUGAAAUUCGUAGAUAUUGGGGAAGAACACCAGUGGCGAAGGCGGCUAACUGGUCCAGCACUGACGCUGAGGUGCGAAAGCGUGGGGGAGCAAAACAGG